rnacentral:rRNA from 1 species
AGAUUGAACGCUGGCGGCAUGCCUAACACAUGCAAGUCGAACGGGAGUAGCAAUACUCUAGUGGCGGACGGGUGAGGAAUACGUAGGAAUUUGCCCUUAAGUGGGGGAUAACCCGGGGAAACCCGGAUUAAUACCGCAUGACCUCGAAAGAGCAAAGUGGGGGAUCGCAAGACCUCACGCUUUUGGAGAAGCCUACGUCGGAUUAGCUAGUUGGUGAGUAAUGGCUCACCAAGGCGACGAUCCGUAACUGGUCUGAG